rnacentral:rRNA from 1 species
GUGUCAGCAGCCGCGGUAAGACGAACCGUGCGAACGUUGUUCGGAAUCACUGGGCUUAAAGGGCGCGUAGGCGGGCGAUCAAGUCAGGGGUGAAAUCCUCCAGCUCAACUGGAGAACUGCCUUUGAUACUGGUCAUCUCGAGUGAGGUAGGGGCAUGCGGAACUGAUGGUGGAGCGGUGAAAUGUGUUGAUAUCAUCAGGAACUCCGGUGGCGAAAGCGGCGUGCUGGACCUCUACUGACGCUGAGGCGCGAAAGCUAGGGGAGCGAACGGGAUUAGAAACCCCCGUAGUCC